GGCCCCGCCGCCCCCCGCCCUGCCCCCCGCGGGCCACCGGGUCCGGGUCGCCGCCGGGGCUCGGUCAGCCGGUACCUUCAUGAAGGUCUCUACCGCGCCUUUGGCCGUGUCCAGAGCUCAUGGCUGGAUCAAUGCACGCAUGUGCUCCCCCUGUGACACUGAGAUGGUCAUCGCUGAGAAGGAAUAAACUGUUCCAAAGCCAGAAGAAGAGGUGGCACAGAAGGAAGAGUCAUCCUAGAAGAAAGUGACGGAGCUGGAACUUACAGCAUGGGGAUAGCUUCAGCGGGAAAGACAUGCAAAUAAAAGAAACGUGAUGAGGUCAGUCUGCUUUGUCCACUGCAGGAUCACUGAGCCCCACUUUGUACAUUUGCCUCAAUAAGCAUUUCUUGAACAAAUCCAGAUUUGCCUCUGAAUUGUCUGAAAGCAGCUCCUAAGGCAGACUGCUCUAUUUUCUCUGAACAUCCGUAGUUUUUCUCUUGCUAUGAUGUGUAUCCAGAUUAAAACUGUGACAGU